rnacentral:lncRNA from 1 species
CAUAAAUUUUAAAAAUGAGUUAUCUGGUGCAAUUCUAAACCCACCUUUUCACCUACUUACUGUCUAGAAAGUGAAUAGCCAAAUAUCAUUGGAAAAACUAUUGAAUUUUCUUUAAUCUUUCAAAUGUGAUUUUGAUGAUGUUUAUAGUUCCCAUUAUGACAGCUCAAACUGUAUUUUAAAAAGUUAUUGAGACUUUGUAAAUAUAAAGAGGAAUUUAGAAAUCUACUUCUUACCCCUCCAUUCUAACAUAAAACAACUCAAUUCUUUAUGUUCUCAUCCUCUUUACAGAUUGGCCUGAUGAAUCUCACAUACCACGAGCAAAGA